rnacentral:rRNA from 1 species
UACGAAAGGAGCAGGUGUUAUUCAGAUUAACUGGGCGUAAAGGGCACGUAGGUGGUUUUGUUAUGUAUAAUGUUAGAUUAUAAAGCUUAGCUUUAUUUUGCGUUAUACACAGCUAAACUAGAGUUAGGUAGGGGAUAAUAGAAUUUCUAAUGUAAAGGUGAAAUUUGAUAAAAUUAGAGAGAAUACCAAUGGCGUAGGCAAUUAUCUGGUCCUUAACUGACACUGAGGUGCGAAGGCAUGGGGAGCAAAUAGG